UACGAAGGGGGCUAGCGUUGCUCGGAAUGACUGGGCGUAAAGGGCGCGUAGGCGGUUUGGUCAGUUAGACGUGAAAUUCCUGGGCUUAACCUGGGGGCUGCGUUUAAGACGGCCAGGCUUGAGUGUGAAAGAGGGUCGUGGAAUUCCCAGUGUAGAGGUGAAAUUCGUAGAUAUUGGGAAGAACACCGGUGGCGAAGGCGGCGACCUGGUUCAUUACUGACGCUGAGGCGCGAAAGCGUGGGGAGCAAACAGG
rnacentral:rRNA from 1 species